AUUAUUAUUCUUUUCCACAACUGUGAUGUCUGGUGUGUUGUGUUCCAGAACUUUGUCGGUCUGGAUUCGGAAGUCCCACAGUAUUUUUGCGUGCUCAUUUUCUAACACUUUUGCAGGUUUGUGAUCCCACCAGUUCUUUGCUGCUGGGAGGUGGUACUUGAUUAUUAUUAUUAUUCUUUUCCACAACUGUGAUGUCUGGUGUGUUGUGUUCCAGAACUUUGUCGGUCUGGAUUCGGAAGUCCCACAGUAUUUUUGCGUGCUCAUUUUCUAACACUUUUGCAGGUUGUGAUCCCACCAGUUCUUUGCUGCUGGGAGGUGGUACUUGAUUAUUAUUAUUAUUCUUUUCCACAACUGUGAUGUCUGGUGUGUUGUGUUCCAGAACUUUGUCGGUCUGGAUUCGGAAGUCCCACAGUAUUUUUGCGUGCUCAUUUUCUAACACUUUUGCAGGUUUGUGAUCCCACCAGUUCUUUGCUGCUGGGAGGUGGUACUUGAUUAUUAUUAUUAUUCUUUUCCACAACUGUGAUGUCUGGUGUGUUGUGUUCCAGAACUUUGUCGGUCUGGAUUCGGAAGUCCCACAGUAUUUUUGCGUGCUCAUUUUCUAAUACUUUUGCAGGUUGUGAUCCCACCAGUUCUUUGCUGCUGGGAGGUGGUACUUGAUUAUUAUUAUUAUUCUUUUCCACAACUGUGAUGUCUGGUGUGUUGUGUUCCAGAACUUUGUCGGUCUGGAUUCGGAAGUCCCACAGUAUUUUUGCGUGCUCAUUUUCUAAUACUUUUGCAGGUUGUGAUCCCACCAGUUCUUUGCUGCUGGGAGGUGGUACUUGAUUAUUAUUAUUAUUCUUUUCCACAACUGUGAUGUCUGGUGUGUUGUGUUCCAGAACUUUGUCGGUCUGGAUUCGGAAGUCCCACAGUAUUUUUGCGUGCUCAUUUUCUAAUACUUUUGCAGGUUGUGAUCCCACCAGUUCUUUGCUGCUGGGAGGUGGUACUUGAUUAUUAUUAUUAUUAUUAUUAUUAUUAUUAUUAUUAUUAUUACGUACAGUACUAGUGUUGUGUUGUUUACCUAUUAUUGUUAAAUUCCUUCAAAAUACUGUGAAUCACUGUAUUACUCAGGACCACGAGAGAAGGGCCUUAUUUGCAAUGUUCACCCAACAAGGGUGAUGCUUCUUCCUGCAGGAGUUGGAGCAUCCAAGGGCCAGUAUCAUCAUACAGCAAUUUUCACCUGCAUGAUGCUGUUUGAGACAGGAUGGAGCGCCAUGUGAUCAGGGACUGUACAGUACAUGCAAAGAAAGGGAUUUGUAUUCAUAUUUGCUUGUGCCAUUUAUGUUUUUGUGUCAAUGAAAACUAUGUAAUGCCUUAAGAAUGAUUUGACUGUAAGCCAAGAGUAUACAUGUUUUGUGUGAACGGGCCACGGUGUCUUUGGGAUUUUGUUGGAGUUAUCCACCCAAAUCCCAGCUGAAUAAACCAGCCUUUUUCCACCUCAGAGUAAGGCCUGGUAUGUUUCCUAAGAAACUACCAAAACACUAACUUACUACCAGAGGGAGGGCCAAGGUUUGCCUUCUGUACUUAACAGUGUUGCGUGCCCCACAUUUGACUGGCUUCUUUGUGACAACAGGUUCUUUCCUCUUCCAUCAGGCCCUUGGCCUUUAGUCCAGUUUUGCCCCAUUAACACGGCUCUCCCCCGGGUUCGAGUAUGGAGGCCUUUUGUCCAGGGAAUAGAAUAGAGUAGUAUAUUGUCAUCGUACUAUUGCACAACAUUACAUGCCUUCCCCCGCACACACCCAUCCUUGCACACUCCCACCACCACCACCACAGAGCCCCCAGUGCCACACCAGUGCGAAGCCAUGGAGUUCAGUAUAGCCCUAGGAUAAAGGCCAUCUCUCAGUCUGUUUGUCCUUGCCUUUGUCACCCUGUACCAUCUGCCUGGUGGCAGUAAUUAAAAAAAAAAAAAAAAGAAUAUGCCAGGUGGAUCCAUCUGGUAUCAACACAUCUAUUUAUCUACCUUUCUAUCCAUCUACCUAUCGAUCUAUUAACCUUCCUAUCUACUAAUCCAUCCAUCCACCUGCCUAUUGAUCUAUCUAUUGACCUGUCUGUCUGUCUCUCAAUCUAUUUAUCUGUCCCUCUAUCUGUCUGUCCCUCUAUCUAUCUAUCCAUCCAUCCAGCCAUCUUUCUUUUUAGCUAUCUACUAAUCCAUGCAUCAAUCCAUCUAUCUAUUGACCUUUCUUUCUAUUCAUCAAUCCAUCUAUCUUCUAUCUAUCUAUCUAUCCAUCAAUUUAUCUACUUUUUUACCCAUUCAUCCAUCCCCCUCUCUAUUGACGUAUCUACUAAUCCAUCCAUUCAACUAUUGAUCUAUAUAUUGUCCUGUCUGUCUGUCUAUCUGUCCAUACAUACAUCUACCUACUCACCUAUCUGCUUACCUAUCUACUAAUCCAACUGUCUAUCAAUUGACCUUUUUUCAAUCUAUCAAUCUACCUAUUGACCUACCUGCUUACUAAUACAUCCAUCUACCUGUUGAUCUAUCUGUUGACCUGUCUGUCUGUCUCUCUAUCCAUGCAUCCAUCCAUCUAUACAUACAUCUCCCUACCUACGUACUUACCUAUCUACUAAUCCAUCUAUUGACCUUUCUUUCAAUCCAUUAUUCUACCUAUCUACCUACCUACCUACUAAUCCAUCCAUCUACCUAUUGAUCAAUCUAUUGACCUUUCUAUCUGUCUGUCUCUAUCCAUCCAUCCAUGCAUCCAUCCAUCCAUCUAUACAUACACCUACCUACCUACAUACUUACCUACCAAUCCAAUUGUCUGUUUACCUUUCUUUCAAUCCAUCAAUCUACCUAUCGACUUAGCUACCUACUAAUCCAUCCAUCUACCUAUUAUCUAUCUGUUGACCUGUCUGUCUGUCUUUCUAUCCAUCCAUCAAUCCAUCUAUACAUACAAAUACCUACCUACUUACCUAUCUACUAAUCCAUCUAUUGACCUUUCUUUCAGUCCAUCAAUCUACCUAUCGACCUACCUACCUACUAAUCCAUCUACCUAUUGAUCUGUCUAUUGACCUGUCUGUCUCUCUGUCCAUCCAUCUAUCUAUACAUACAUCUACCUACCUACUUACCUAUCUACUAAUCCAUCUAUUGACCUUUCUUUCAGUCCAUCAAUCUACCUAUCGACCUACCUACCUACUAAUCCAUCUACCUAUUGAUCUGUCUAUUGACCUGUCUGUCUCUCUGUCCAUCCAUCUAUCUAUACAUACAUCUACCUACCUACUUACCUAUCUACUAAUCCAUCUAUUGACCUUUCUUUCAGUCCAUCAAUCUACCUAUCGACCUACCUACCUACUAAUCCAUCUACCUAUUGAUCUGUCUAUUGACCUGUCUGUCUCUCUGUCCAUCCAUCUAUCUAUACAUACAUCUACCUACCUACUUACCUAUCUACUAAUUCAUCUAUUGACCUUUCUUUCAGUCCAUCAAUCUACCUAUCGACCUACCUACCUACUAAUCCAUCUACCUAUUGAUCUGUCUAUUGACCUGUCUGUCUGUCUCUCUAUCCAUCCAUCCAAACAUCCAUCUAUACAUACAGAUACCUACCUACUUACCUACUAAUCCAUCUAUCUGUUGGCCGUUCUUUCAAUCCAUCAAUCUACCUGUUGACCCACCUACCUACUAAUUCAUCCAUCUACCUAUUGAUCUACCUAUUGACCUGUCUGUCUGUCUCUCAAUCUAGCCGUCUAUUCAUCUAUACAUACAUCUACCUACCUACUUACCUAUCUACCAAUCCAUCUAUCUAUUGGCCGUUCUUUCAAUCCAUCAAUCUACCUAUCGACCCACCUACCUACUAAUACAUCCAUCUACCUGUU